rnacentral:rRNA from 1 species
GGGGUGCAGCAUCUGGCUUGCCAGAAGCUGUUACCUAGUGGCGAACGGGUGAGUAACACGUGGGUAACCUGCCCAAGAGACCGGGAUAACAGUUCGAAAGGGCUGCUAAUACCGGAUACCCUGUAUAGGAGGCAUCUUUUAUACAGGAAAUGAUUUAUUGCUCUUGGAUGGGCCCGCGUCCCAUUAGCUAGUUGGUGAGGUAACGGCUCACCAAGGCUUCGAUGGGUAGCCGGCCUGAGAGGGUGUACGGCCACACUGGGACUGAGACACGGCCCAGACUCCUACGGGAGGCAGCAGUGGGGAAUAUUGCGCAAUGGGGGCAACCCUGACGCAGCGACGCCGCGUGAGCGAAGAAUGCCUUCGGGUUGUAAAGCUCUGUCUAGGGGGAAGAUAGUGACGGUACCCCUGGAGGAAGCCCCGGCUAACUACGUGCCAGCAGCCGCGGUAAUA